rnacentral:rRNA from 1 species
UACGUAGGGUGCGAGCGUUAAUCGGAAUUACUGGGCGUAAAGCGUGCGCAGGCGGUUUUGUAAGUCAGAUGUGAAAUCCCCGGGCUUAACCUGGGAACUGCGUUUGAAACUACAAGGCUAGAGUGUGGCAGAGGGGGUGGAAUUCCGACGUGUAGCAGUGAAAUGCGUAGAGAUGUGGAGGAACACCGAUGGCGAAGGCAGCCCCUGGUUAACACUGACGCUCAGCACGAAGCGUGGGAGCAACAGG